UGCGUAGGUGGUUUGGCAAGUUGGUAGCGUAACCCCGGGGCUCAACCUCGGAACUACUACCAAAACUGUUGAACUCGAGUGCAGGAGGGGCAAUUGGAAUUCCUAGUGUAGCGGUGGAAUGCGUAGAUAUUAGGAGGAACACCAGAGGCGAAGGCGAAUUGCUGGACUGUAACUGACACUGAGGCACGAAAGCGUGGGGAGCAAAACGA
rnacentral:rRNA from 1 species